CGGGGUGGAGUAACGCGUGGAUAACCUGCCUCGCACUGGGGGAUAACAGUUAGAAAUGGCUGCUAAUACCGCAUAAGCGCACAGUACCGCAUGAUACGGUGUGAAAAACCCAGGUGGUGUGAGAUGGAUCCGCGUCUGAUUAGCCAGUUGGCGGGGUAACGGCCCACCAAAGCGACGAUCAGUAGCCGACCUGAGAGGGUGACCGGCCACAUUGGGACUGAGACACGGCCCAA
rnacentral:rRNA from 1 species